UCCUUCCGCGUCGGGUGAGCCGUAGGCCUCGGCGCCCAUGUGCUGAGGCAACAAGCCCCGAAUGGCUGACUUCCGCUUCCGCCUUGUUGGACUUCCGAAAUCCGAGGGCAUGCGUGUCGACAUCACCUUUUUGUUGUUACUUUUCAUUUCGUCAUCACACCAGCUCUACUGGGGAUGCUAUCUUUAAGCCCAGUUUCCCGAUGGGAAGUUAAGGGCUUGCUUAAGGUGGUGGAGUCAGAAAUCACACCAGGCCCAGACUCAGAAGCCCCUGCACGGGAGACACACGUGUGUGCGCACCCCCGCAUGAUACCCCCUACGACGGUGGAAACCGCACUGAAGUAGACGUCAGACUUCGCUGGUGUUGACUCCGCUGGACGCUGAAAAAGAAACAGAGAGGAGCCAGACAGACCCUGGUUCCUCGUUUCUCAACUAAUUUCCUGACCAAGGAAUGGAACUGCCCUGUCCUUGCUGCUGAAAGGGGAUCAGGCUUGAUCGCAAUUCAGCUCCUGGAGUGAACGAUUGUACAUCUGGACAAGACUCUUGGAAAUGGAGUAGAAGGAAUUCUUUAUGGACACAUUAAAGGGAGCUGCUACAAGAAAUAAGAGGAGAAAUAAUUAUUUCCAUUUACUGCAUGUCUACUGCAUGCCACACAUUACAUGUAAUUUCAUUUAAUCUUCCACAAGCAGUCCUUCCGGGUGGGUAUU